UGGGGAAUAUUGCACAAUGGGCGCAAGCCUGAUGCAGCCAUGCCGCGUGUGUGAAGAAGGCCUUCGGGUUGUAAAGCACUUUCAGCGGGGAGGAAGGCGAUAAGGUUAAUAACCUUGUCGAUUGACGUUACCCGCAGAAGAAGCACCGGCUAACUCCGUGCCAGCAGCCGCGGUAAUACGGAGGGUGCAAGCGUUAAUCGGAAUUACUGGGCGUAAAGCGCACGCAGGCGGUCUGUCAAGUCGGAUGUGAAAUCCCCGGGCUUAACCUGGGAACUGCAUUCGAAACUGGCAGGCUAGAGUCUUGUAGAGGGGGGUAGAAUUCCAUGUGUAGCGGUGAAAUGCGUAGAGAUGUGGAGGAAUACCGGUGGCGAAGGCGGCCCCCUGGACAAAGACUGACGCUCAGGUGCGAAAGAGUGGGGAGCAAACAGG
rnacentral:rRNA from 1 species